rnacentral:rRNA from 1 species
GUGGGGGAUAUUGCACAAUGGAGGAAACUCUGAUGCAGCGACGCCGCGUGAGUGAAGAAGUAUUUCGGUAUGUAAAGCUCUAUCAGCAGGGAAGAAAAUGACGGUACCUGACUAAGAAGCACCGGCUAAAUACGUGCCAGCAGCCGCGGUAAUACGUAUGGUGCAAGCGUUAUCCGGAUUUACUGGGUGUAAAGGGAGCGCAGGCGGUGCGGCAAGUCUGAUGUGAAAGCCCGGGGCUCAACCCCGGUACUGCAUUGGAAACUGUCGUACUAGAGUGUCGGAGGGGUAAGUGGAAUUCCUAGUGUAGCGGUGAAAUGCGUAGAUAUUAGGAGGAACACCAGUGGCGAAGGCGGCUUACUGGACGAUAACUGACGCUGAGGCUCGAAAGCGUGGGGAGCAAACAGGAUUAGAAACCCUAGUAGUCC